CAAUUAAUACCAGUAACACCUUCAAUGCCUAAGAGUUCGGUUCUCAAUUCAUCCGAUAAAUCAAAACCCAAAACUGCAGUUAGAGCUGGUGAGAUGAACAUGACCGCCAAGAGUCUGCAACAACAGCCCUCUUCAUUGCACCCUGCCAAUCAAGCUGUUCUUGGGGGACAUGUCAAAGCUGAUGCACUAAAGACAUCUCAUGGGAAGCUCUUUGUUCUCAAGCCGGGAUGGGAAAAUGGUGCAUCCCCCUCUCCAAAGGAUGUUGCUAGUCCUAAAAAUAAUGUCAGCAGAGGAUCAAAUAGCCAACUUGCUGUUCCUUCAGUUCCAUCUGCACCUUUGAGGAGCCCAAACAAUAUGAAGCUUUCUUCUGGGGAACGCAAGUCUGCUAACUUGAAUUUGAUUUCAGGGUUCAAUGUGGAAAAGAGACCUUCUAUGUCUCAAACCCAGAGCCGAAAUGAUUUUUUUAACCUCCUGAAAAAGAAAACCUCAACGAACACUUCUGCAGCUCUCCCUGAUUCACCCUCUGCUCUUUCAUCUCCCACCAGUGAGAAAUCCCGUAACGUGAGCAAGGAAGUAGUCAGUGCUCCUGCAAGUCUUCAGGGUAUUAAGAAUGGUGCUGAGUUGACUAGCA
rnacentral:misc_RNA from 1 species